UCACUUACAUCCACAACUGCCUAGAUAGUGCAGUUAUGUUUCAGCGUUCAGAACCUCCACCAUUCACACUGUGAUUGUACUACUUUCUAGCACUAUAUGUAAGUGUGUACAAAUACAUGUAAAAUCAACACAUAUAGGACAUUUGAUGUUUUAAAGAGCAAGCAAAUACACUUUAAGACUGGUCUUGUCAUGGACGCUCACAGGUUUUGUCUAAUUACUGGUCUUGCUAUCCAGAGGACUCACAGUUUAUUUUACCUCAAAGUUCUGGUCUUGUUAAUAGAUGCUCACAGGUUCCUAAUACUGGUCUCGCUAUCUUCAACUCACAGACUUUGGCUACUUCGGGGGUCCUCACCUCCCCGGGCUUCCAACCCAGCUAAAACAAUACCUCGUCAGAAUAUUGUGGGAGUUGCCACACUCGAGGACACUGGUCUUGUCAAUAGACGCUCACAGUUUUUUUGGCUAAUUACUGGUCUCGCUAUCCAGAGGACUCACAGCUUAUUUUACAAAGUUCUGGUCUUGUUAAUAGAUGCUCACAGGUUCCUAAUACUGGUCUUGCUAUCUUCAACUCACAGAUUUUUUUUUUUUUUUUAUUUUUUCUUUUUUU